UUCCCAUCACCAAUGCCGAGCUCCUCCUGAAGGCACUUCCCCCUCUUCUGCCCACAGGCUCAGGGUGCUGAGGGGGCUCUUUGCAGAACGACCCCUGGAGUCUGGUCCACCAGGACCCCAGGCCUCGUGUAGGACCUCCCCAAGCCGGGAGCGCACAGGCUGGUCCAGGGCAGGACCAGGCAAGUGGGAUGCACCGGGCUGUUAUUUUACAGCUCAAGCAUCACUGAGAGGGUCUGAUGACUCAGCUAGCAAUUUCUUGAGCCAACAUCACAUCACCCAUGUAGUGAGGAAAUGAGGCUAGGGGUGAUCAGGAUCAGCUGUGGGGCAGAAUGCGGUAGAAAUGCACCUCAAGCCGGCCUCUGCUGGACUCGGGAGAUCCAGGGGCCAUUUGGAACAAAGAGAAGCUUGCGAUCCAAGAGUGCCAGAAACGUGUGCGUAACCCCGCUCCCCAGUCACCAUCUGCUUGUGAUUGCGGAGUCCCCAGAAGAAUAGACGGGCGCCAUCUGGUGGCUCUCACGCACAGAGUAGCGUGACCCCGGGAACUUAAAUCACGUGGAGUAUCAGCUCCCUCCCCGGCGGCGGCGUCGCUCAGCUCCCGGAACACCAGGGGGCGCCAUUCUCGCCGAAUCCAAAAUGAAGUCGCCGCUUGGCGCGAAGCGGUGCGGUGGUCCUGCCUGUGUCGGCCUUUGAGAUCAACCCUGGCUGUUCACCUCUAUGUUAAGAACUGCCUCUUCCGGGGCGUCUGGACGGCUCAGUCCGUGAAGCGUCUACCUUCAGCUCAGGUCAGGGUUCCAGGGUCCCGGGGUCCAGUCCUGCAUCAGGCUGCUUGCUCCGUGAGGAGCCUGCUUCACCCUCUGCCGGCCACUCCCCCUGAUUGUGCUUGCUGUCUCUCUGAGAAAUAAAUAAAAUCUUAAAAAAACAAAAAUUGCCCCUUCUUCCCUGGCUCAGGAUUUCAUUCCCUUUGACUCUGUCUCCUCUCAGGAAAGCACUGGAUGUUUUAGACGGAUACCAGACCUCCCCCACGCAGGCACUCACACCACCCGCCUGCAGGCUCCAGGAACAUAGAGGAAUGUAGAAAAAAGCCGGAGAGGAGUGGAGUACCUAAGGGCCACAUCAGACAAGAAACAAUGAAUUCAAAACAUUCCUGCUUGGGGCGCCAGGGUGGCUCAGUCGGUUAAGGAACUGCCUUCGGCUCGGAUCAUGAUCCCAGGGUCCUAAGAUGGGGCUCCCUGCUCAGUGGGGAGCCUGCUUCUCCUCUG